CCCUUAGAUGUUCUGGGCCGCACGCGCGCUACACUGACGAAUGCAACGAGCUUAUAACCUUGGCCGAAAGGUCUGGGUAAUCUCCAAAUUUCGUCGUGAUGGGGAUAGACCUUUGCAAUUAUGGGUCUUCAACGAGGAAUUCCUAGUAAACGCAAGUCAUCAGCUUGCAUUGAUUACGUCCCUGCCCUUUGUACACACCGCCCGUCGCACCUACCGAUUGAAUGGUCCGGUGAAAUCUCGGGACGGCGGCUUGGUCGCUUGCGUCCGACUGCUGAAACUUGAUUAAACCAUAUCAUUUAGAGGAAGGUGAAGUCGUAACA
rnacentral:rRNA from 1 species